rnacentral:tRNA from 1 species
GCCCCCUUAGCUCAGUGGCAGAGCACUUCCAUGGUAAGGAAGGGGUCCCGGGUUCGAAUCCCGGAGGGGGCU